rnacentral:lncRNA from 10 species
GCAUUUCUCUAAUCGAGCUGUAACACUUGCUGCUGCGGUCCAUGGCUCCAUUCCUUGAAGCCCACGAGACCAGGAACCCUUGGAUUGAGAAAAAACCUUCAAUUGGGAGGAUACUUCUUAUCUCAUUUCUAGGGGCCCAUCCGGGAUUUCUCCACAGCAGUGAGUAAUAUUGGACCCCUUUCACUUGCUAUUCUGUUCUAUCUUCUCGCUAACAACUGGAGGAAAACACUGGGCAACUGUGGGCCACUUAAAAGCGACAAGCAUGGCUGCCAGAUUUAAGACACGGGUGUGAGGCUUUCCAGGAAAGGGCUCUCUAACAACCCCCAGCCCUCUGGGCUGGAAGCAUUGGUGUGCCUGGAGCCAGUUCCACCUUUCCUGGGAAAAGCUGAGGGCUGGCUAGAGGCGGAAAACUAUUGUCCCGAACUCCUGGCACUGACCCAGUCGAGAUCAUGGCACAGCGAGAAGCCUCUACUCUGCAGACACCCAUGCAUGCAUUCUCUGCCUUCUCUGACCAUGCCUCCUGGGUCCUAAUGUCCUCAGAGAUGACUUUCUUAAGUCCCUAUCCUCUAGAAUUUUUCCUAACCCUGAGUCUAAGAAUCUUUUGGCUAGGAGCCUAAGUCAAAUGGGGAGGCAAUCCGAAGACCCUUGCACAUGGUGUGCCCAGACUUAUUCUUAUGCAAAUUGGUAUCAAUAUACUUAUACGGGACUUGUCCCUCAUAACCUGUAUCCUGGGCACUAUCUGGGACAUCAAACGGCAUGUCAGUGGCUGAUAGAAGGCCUAGGACAUUUUCCCUUUUGUUGCCCUAAACUUACUCCAGAUUGUAGAGGCUACUUUAAUUACCAGCUUUCCUGCCUGGGGUCAGCGAUUAGAACUGUAGAACUUUGGGCUGGGCAUGGUGGCUCAUGCCUGUAAUCCUGGCUAGCAUGGUGAAAC